rnacentral:misc_RNA from 1 species
UUUUUUUUUUUUUUCACACUAGAGAAAGUACUCCACCAGUCCACUAUCCCGCAUUGCCUAAAACUGACCUGCCUUGCAUUUAUAUAAGAAAUACUUGCAAUAUUCUCGCAGAAGAUUGAAAACUUUCAAAACAUAGCAUAACACAACAUAUCUAGUACAAAGUUCAUAAAAUACUGAAUCGACCAAGCUGAUAUGUGGUAAGCAGGAUUUUUAUUGAGUGGUCCAUUCUGGGUCUUCUAAUGGUCCAUCUUCCAUGAACCUCUGACCUGAGAAUUGAAUUAAUCUGUUUGGUGUUUCAAACAAUGAAAUCAUCAUCUCCAAACCCUACCAACCCUAACUGGAAUUAGCUUAUCUCAAGCUUUAACCUGAAAAUCCAACUGAUCUCUUUGAUUCUUGGAAUUAACACCAGACCUACCUUAAAGAAACAAAAGUGUAAAUGUGAAACACUUAACCACACUAGAGAACGUGGAAAUUUGUCACAGGUCCAUCCUGUCUUGUGACUGCAUUGCUUGGGAUUCUGAUUCAGCCUGGCAGCCCCUGCAUUGUCAUCUUAGAAAAUUACAUGUUGUUUGUGCAUUUGGAAUUGUAUGCACCUCUAGAAAAGAGAGUGCUUUAAAUUAAGCCCAUUUAUUCAAGGCCUUUGAAUAAAACCUGAUCCUGGUGUAUUUAAGUGCACGGUGAAGCUGUAUGCUCGUUCAUUGUUUUCUGAGAUCUAGGAUCCAAUACACUUGACCUCAUUGCAAUGAGUUCAGGAAUUCUCAAACUUAAAUUCUAAAUCAUUGAUGAAGAGCUUGUCUUUGUUCCAUUUAAUCAGUGAUUAAGUCUUGAAGAGUUUCUUUAUGGAUAAAACUAAAGUUACAAACAUUUUAUUGAUUUGCUUCACAAUCCCUAGUUUUGAAUUUUGUUCUUCUAGCAUUCACCCUCAUUUAAGAUUUUUGUAUGAUUAAAUAUUUUAAGUUGUCAAAUAUUCCAUACCUUAUUCUUUUAAAAUUUUUUUAGGUAAAUGCUGCCAUCAUAAAGA